rnacentral:tRNA from 1 species
GGGGCUGUGGUUCAGUGGUAGAGCAUCUGCUUGGCAUGCAGAAGGUCCCAGGUUCAAUCCUCAGCAUCUCCA